rnacentral:lncRNA from 1 species
GAGCUGCUUCCAGCAAGAUCCUCAAGGAGGGGUCCUGGGAUUCAGAUGCCCCCCUGGAACUGUAUGUGAUCAUUAGUUGCUUGGAUGGGGACAGAUCUUGCAGAAAUCUGCCAAAUCCAAAUCCUUUCUUGUGACCUUCCUUCUGUACAAACAGAAACAUGGGGAUUCCUCUCCACACCCUGCUUAAGGUUUUGCUGGGAACUCUUCUUCCUCCUUGUGGUCUUCUUCCUCAUCCUUGUUUUCGUCCUGUUCCUCCUCACAGCAGUCUACAGUGGUUGCCUGAAGCUGAUGUGGUAAAUGAACUUGAGCACUCUAUGACCACCACCACUUUAUGCUGGCACAUGUUUCUCCACCACCAGUCCCCAGCAAGUGUGCAAAUGAGGAUGUGGGGAAAAGGUACACUCAUACAUUCUUGGUGGCACUGCAAAUUGGUGCAACCAUUCUGGAAAGCAAUAUGGAGAUUCCUUAGAAAACUUGGAAUGGAACUGCCAUUUGACCCAGCUAUCCCACUCCUCAGUCUAUACCUAAAGGACUUAAGAUCAGCAUACUAUAGUGACGCAGCCACAUCAAUGUUUACAGCAGCUUAAUUCACAAUAGCUAAACUGUGGAACCAACCUAGAUGCCCUUCAAUAGAUGAAUAGAUAAAGAAACUGUGAUAUAUAUAUAUAUAUAUAUAUAUAUACACACACACACACACACACACACACACACACACACAGUGGAAUGUUACUCAGCAUUAAAAGAGAAUAAAAUUAUGACAUUUACAGGUAAAUGGAUGGACUUGGAGAAUAUAUUGCUUAGAGAAGCAAGCCAAUCCCCAAAACAGAAUACCGAAUAUUCUCUCUGAUGAUAAGUGGA